ACUGCAAACUGGCCUUGUUGCGGGCCCCACGAAACCGGAGGCAACCUCUUUUCAUCCCCGUCGCCACGCCACGUCCGAAUUGGGCGUCCGAACCGAAACGCCAUCGAGCCUGACUCGCCUGAACCCAGCCCAAGCUAGGGUUUCCUCGCCGCGCCGGCGCAAGGCCACCACCCCCGUCCGACCGCCGCCGCCAUGUACAACGGCAUCGGGCUGCAGACCCCGCGGGGGUCCGGCACGAGCGGGCACGUCCAGGCGAGCAAGUUCCUCGCGAAGCCCCGGCCCUCUUCCUCCGCCGCCGCCGCGGCUGGCGGCUACGGGACCCCCAACCCUCCGCACACCGGCUCCGUCCUCGAGAGGACGCGGAAGCCCAACAAGGACAUCCUGGAGCACGACCGGAAGCGGCAGGUGGAGCUGCGGCUGCUCGUGCUGAGGGACGCGCUCGAGGAGCAUGGGUACACGGAGGCCCAGAUCGAGGAGCGCGUCGGGGAGGCGCGCAAGGCCGCCGAGAUCGAGGCGGCGGCGGAGGAAGGUGGGCCUCGUUCCCAGGGCAAAGGGUUCACAGACACUCAGAGCCACCAAGCUGCGGCACGGAAGGAGAACCAGCUUCAGACUAUGAGGGCUGCUCUUGGGCUAGAUGCAGAGGAUGCACAGAAGGAGCGCUGUAGAAAGUGAUGCGGAGCCUGGAGAUCUUGUUGAAAGGAAGCAGGGGAUGUCGAAACGACUCGCAGCAAGACCUGUAGGAAGGCUCAAGAGAGUUGGCUUAGCGGCGGCGAGUGGGCAAGCAGCAAACUGAGCGGAGCUCCCGGCGGCCGCGGCAAGCUCUGGAUGAGCAGCGAGCAGUCCAAGGUGAGGAUGUGGAGGCUGGAGGCUCCAUCUACUGCAAUGUGUGAGCAGUCCAAGUGCCUAAUGACGACCUGGCAAGCGAUUUGCCUCGAUCCUCCGCACAAGUCAAGAAACAAUGAGGUCCGAGUGGAUGUUUUUUUCUUGUGGAUUUCCUCUGGAAUCGAAUGCAAAGGAAAGUUUCCUCCAUUUUUCCUGUGAGCAAUUCCGGCGUACCAAAGGGCGCUACAGUGACUCAAUCCAUAUGAAUGGGAAUCCUACAUCUUUCCUAUGUUUUUCCUCCGUUCUAAAGGAGGCCUAAAUGUGAUGAAUUAUGAGAAGCCACCAAGGUUGUCAUAAAAUUGGGUGCCACAUGUUCAUUGGCUGUUAACAAUCUUAGCAGGGGUGUAGAAAUAGAGCAGCAUUGAAGCUUUUAGACCAGAUGACUCCGCUGAUCCCAGAAGAAGCUUUAUUAAUCUUAGACAAUUAUACCGAGGUGAAUAGGUGGUACAAUCACUAAGAUCACUCCCGGCCUCUGCUCCUGGAUGGAUAUAGAUAUUCAAUCUUUUAAGUUUUUAGCAGCUCGUGAGAGAGUAAGUCUGAUCUCAAAAUUCACAUUAUUUUAGCAGCUCAAUAAAUCUUCCAUUAUA